UGAGCCUGGUGACAUAUACUUCAGGGCACUGGAAAGACUUGGCAGACUUCCCAGCAGUGCAACCUCCUGGGGCUGAUUCAGCCAAAGUUCCCACCCAGGAAUCCUGGACGUCUGACAGGAGAAAAAGCCCAACUCUCCCAAGGCCACAGAGAUUUAAUGACUUCCUGUGCCCUCUACAAGACACCAGGCCUUUCUUCUGAAAUACACUUAAUCUGAGGUACGAGCAUCUUCUAACUGACCAGACCAAAGUAAAGUCUGCGGGGGUUACCACCAUAACGAGCAGCACUCAUAUGAGGAAGGAAUAUAGAUAUUUCAGGGCAAUAGCAGCUUUAAGUGAAGCACAGCAGUG